AUUGAACGCUGGCGGCAUGCUUUACACAUGCAAGUCGAACGGUAACAGGCCGCAAGGUGCUGACGAGUGGCGAACGGGUGAGUAAUGCAUCGGAACGUGCCCAGUCGUGGGGGAUAACUACUCGAAAGAGUAGCUAAUACCGCAUACGAUCUAUGGAUGAAAGCGGGGGACCGUAAGGCCUCGCGCGAUUGGAGCGGCCGAUGUCAGAUUAGGUAGUUGGUGGGGUAAAGGCGCACCAAGCCAACGAUCUGUAGCUGGUCUGAGAGGACGACCAGCCACACUGGGACUGAGACACGGCCCAGACUCCUACGGGAGGCAGCAGUGGUGAAUUUUGGACAAUGGGCGCAAGCCUGAUCCAGCAAUGCCGCGUGCAGGAAGAAGGCCUUCGGGUUGUAAACUGCUUUUGUACGGAACGAAACGGCUCUGGUUAAUACCCGGGGCUAAUGACGGUACCGUAAGAAUAAGCACCGGCUAACUACGUG
rnacentral:rRNA from 1 species